AGAGGAAAAGGAAUAUUGGAGAGAUAAGAGGCGGUACAGAGGUUGGUGAAGGUCAAGAGUGAUCAAGAGUGUUUCCCGGAAACACUCUUGAUCACUCUUGACCUUUACCAACCUCUGUACUGCCUCUUAUCUCUCCAAUAUUCCUUUUGGGUAG